rnacentral:rRNA from 1 species
UGAAAAGGGAAACAACCCAGACCCACAGCUAAGGUCCCAAAUUCACUGCUAAGUGGAAAACGAUGUGGAAAGGCAUAGACAGCCAGGAGGUUGGCUUAGAAGCAGCCACCCUUUAAAGAAAGCGUAAUAGCUCACUGGUCGAGUCGGUCUGCGCGGAAGAUUUAACGGGGCUAAGCAGUGAACCGAAGCUUGGGGUGCAUAAAACUUGUUUUAUGCGCGGUAGAGGAGCGUUCCGUAAGCCUGCGAAGGUGGAUUGAGAAGUCUGCUGGAGGUAUCGGAAGUGCGAAUGCUGACAUGAGUAACGAUAAU